rnacentral:rRNA from 1 species
GACGAACGCUGGCGGCGUGCCUAACACAUGCAAGUCGAGCGGUUCAGAUUUGGCAGCAAUGUUGGAUCUGGAUAGCGGCGGACGGGUGAGUAACGCGUGGGCAACCUGCCUUUCACAGGGGGAUAACACAGGGAAACUUGUGCUAAUACCGCAUAACAUCAUGAGAGGGCAUCCUUUUAUGAUCAAAGGAGCAAUCCGGUGAAAGAUGGGCCCGCGUCCGAUUAGCUAGUUGGUGGUGUAACGGACCACCAAGGCGACGAUCGGUAGCCGAACUGAGAGGUUGAUCGGCCACAUUGGGACUGAGACACGGCCCAGACUCCUACGGGAGGCAGCAGUCGAGAAUAGUCUACAAUGGCCGGAAGGCUGAUAGUGCGACGCCGCGUGAACGAGGGAGCCCUUCGGGGUGUAAAGUUCUUUUCUAUACGAGCAGUGCUAUAUAUAUGGAUAGUAUAUAUAGAGGGAUAGUAGUAUAGGAAUAAGCAAC